rnacentral:lncRNA from 1 species
UAAACAAAAUAUCGAGCUAAUCAUAUCGAGGUAAUGUUAAAUAAUAACAUUGAAAUAUAUAGGGAAAAAUCGGGACCGACUAAAACACAUGGUGCUAACCGGAGUAUCGAGCUAACCGAUAUCGAGCUAACGAUAUUCGACUGUACUUUAAAUAAUGAUGCCUCUUUCAACAUCAUUGUAAAAGAUAGCACUGAAUAGCAUUUGUUCACGGUUUCUGUUUUAAACAAAGUUAACAUAUUGCAUAAUUAACAGUAGAUUUUGUAAUUAACAUGUGAUGUUUGAAUAUUUUCAACUUUAAGCAAAAAGAAAGAAACUGUGGGUAUCUGUGAAUCAAACAUACAUUACCCAGGUUGUAAAUACCUACUUUAUGUUACAUAUAUCAUAUGUUAUUCUUCUUAGAUAAUGUAUCAAUCAUGUAUAUUGGUAUUGCAAAACACCUAUCAUUAUUUAUUUACUCCUGUCUCUGUGUGUGUGUCACUCUGUCUGUCUGUCACAAAUCUUGUCCACACGCUAUGUCAAACAUUUCUCAUCCGAUCUUCACCAAACUUGAACAAAAUGUGUUUGCCAAAAAGUCCUCGACCAAGUUAGAUAACUAGCCAAAUCGGCUCAUGCACUUCGGAAUUAUGGCCCUUGAAUUACCGGUAGGCCUCUUACUCCAACACGCUUACUCCUACAUACCAAUAGGCGGCUUACUCCAGCACUUAUCUGAUAGGUCGCUUACUCCAACACUUACUCCAAAACUAUCAAAGGUAUAUUUUCUGUGAGUAAACAGUAUAUAAAGACAGACUUCAGAUGAUUAGGCAGUUGUGGGAGACAUGCGCUUUUCUCAAAAGCAGCUCUAGUUUUCUACAGCAUUACAAAGUUGACAUGAAACAUACAUCACCAAGAUUACACAGAAUGUUAAGUAACACUAAUGUAAGGAUAUUGUAUGGGUUUCAUUGUACUGUGGAGACUUUAAGAAAUGGCUUUUGUGUUUUCAAAGCGUUUGUGUGGCAGAUCAGAUAAGUUUUCUUUACUGAAAUUAGCAACACCAAUUAUACUGAUUUUACCUCCUAACACAGGUGGAACAUACAUUACUAUAAAAAGCAACACCAAUUAUACUGAUUUUACCUCCUAACACAGGUGGAACAUACAUUGCUAUAAAUAGCAACACCAAUCAUACUGAUUUUACCUCCUAUACUGAUUUUACCUCCUAACACAGGUGGAACAUACAUCACUAUAAAUAGCAACACCAAUCUUACUGAUUUUACCUCCUAACACAGGUGGAACAUACAUUACUAUAAAUAGCAACACCAAUCUUACUGAUUUUACCUCCUAACACAGGUGGAACAUACAUUACUAUAAAUAGCAACGCCAAUCUUACUGAUUUUACCUCCUAACACAGGUGGAACAUACAUUACUAUAAAUAGCAACACCAGUCUUACUGAUUUUACCUCCUAACACAGGUGGAACAUACAUUACUAUAAAUAGCAACACCAGUCUUACUGAUUUUACCUCCUAUACUGAUUUUACCUCCUAACACAAAUGGAACACUAUAAAUAGCAACACCAGUUAUACCGAUUUUACCUCCUAACACAGGUGGAACAUACAUUACUAUAAAUAGCAACACCAGUUAUACCGAUUUUACCUCCUAACACAGGUGGAACAUACAUUACUAUAAAUAGCAACACCAAUUAUACCGAUUUUACCUCCUAACACAGGUGGAACAUACAUUACUAUAAAUAGCAACACCAGUUAUACCGAUUUUACCUCCUAACACAGGUGGAACAUACAUUACUAUAAAUAGCGACACCAGUUAUACCGAUUUUACCUCCUAACACAGGUGGAACAUACAUUACUAUAAAUAGCAACACCAAUUAUACCGAUUUUACCUCCUAACAAAGGUGGAACAUACAUUACUAUAAAUAGCAACACCAGUUAUACCGAUUUUACCUCCUAACACAGGUGAAACAUACAUUACUAUAAAUAGCAACACCAGUUAUACCGAUUUUACCUCCUAACACAGGUGGAACAUACAUUACUAUAAAUAGCAACACCAAUUAUACCGAUUUUACCUCCUAACACAGGUGGAACAUACAUUACUAUAAAUAGCAACACCAAUUAUAACA